UUCAGUCUGCGGUCCCUGAUUCAUCUUAUCCAAAACUCCUCCCUUUCCAGCGAUGGCAGCGACGGCGGAGCACGAGCAGGUGAGGUGUGGCGCCUUCGUCGGACCGCUACAGCCACGGCGGAGGAGAAGGUGGACGCCAUGGGCGCGGCUACAGAGGAGGCGGAGGAGAAGGCGGACGUCGUGCGCUUGCUACACGGCUACAACCGAGGCGGAGGAGAAGGCGGAUGCCAUGGCCUUGCUGCGCUCAUGGGCGUUCUUGAGGAUGGUACACCGGCCGUGCCGCCGCCAGUCCUCUCUGGCCUCCCGCGUGUUAUCCUUCUCAACCUCCGCUCCUCCUGUCGUGAUUUGGAUGGGAAAUUGGAGGCCGGCCGUGUCCUUGUCCAACACAUAUUGAUGUAGUGCCCGACCCGGAUUUGAUUGGCUGUUAUAAGAAGCAAAGGUCCUCGGUCGGAAUCUCCAUCAGGUUUUGCCCUUCGACCAUAAUCUCCAUCAUCCCAUCGAAAUAGCAAUUUUUGACCAAACAUCCAAUGUCGCCGCCAAGUUCGCCGGACGAAGAAGCGCCGAGUUCGCCGGAGGAACAAGAACGCCCGUCGAGCCGUGCAAUGUCUCUUGUGGCAGCUACACGAGAGUGCCAUCCUUCUUCCGUGAUGCUGCUGCAUGCCAGGAUUCGCAGUGGCACCGCCGCAACCAGCAAGGACACAAGAUCACGAGGAUUGUUGCCGCUUCCGAGGACAUGGGAGCUGCCAUAGCCAGCGAGUACGUGAGCACACACAGUCACCAUCACUUAAGAGGAUGCGAGAGCCAUCUCAGCUUGAGAGGAUGCGCAUACCAUCUCCGGGUGAGGGAGUUCUAUGGAUACACUCCGAGGGCGGGGAUCCCAUUUCAAUGAAAUCAUGCUACGUACUAUAACUUAAACACGCCAAGAAGAUGAGGGAUAGUCCUUCGUUGGAGCGAUAUUUCUUCCAAGGAUGGUUGUUGGCAUGGAUCAGCACCAGUAAUACCCUGAAUUUUCUGAACUUGGCUCCUCUAGCCUAACUUGAUGAUGAAAGUUUCAGUCAAAUGAAUUUAUUAUGUAUAUUUGGCUUGGAGUUAAUCCCAAAAAAAUAAAUUUCUUA